AAUCAAUGAACACAGACUAAGUACGCCGCGUCCUGCGGCAACGUCUGUGUGACCCACAUCCUGUGGG
rnacentral:sRNA from 1 species